ACCAGAGCCGCCACCACAUGUCCUCACACCUCGCCUUCCAGCGUCACCUACGCACCCGGACAGAGGUCUCCCGCCCUCAAAGAGGGCGUGGGGGUGCCCGCCCGGUACCCCGCCGAAGGGCGGUGGCGGCGCGGCGCUUCCGCGUCCGGGUCGCGGCGGUGCCGGGAGGCGGUGCCGGCGCGGCGGGGCUGGGGGACACCAUGGCCUUGCGGUGGUGGUGGCGGAGCGGCGCCUCGUGCUGCCGAGCGCCGCCGCUGGGCUCUGUGGGCAGCCCCGGCCCCCGCGCCCCGCCGGCCCCCAGCGCGGCGAUGUGUCACAUUACCCAAAGAAGUUCAACUUUCUUGUUUCCAAAAAUAUGUAGUAUAUUUUGGCGGAGUUUGCAAGAGAGGGAAGAAAGUAACAGAAUAGUUGGGUUGCCAGAAGUGAAGGCUCUAUCUCCAUGUGUGGGCUACGCUAUCCAUAGUGUAUUCAAAAGGAAUACAAGGAGAGCAAGGUUUCAUCAUACAAGUACAUCCCACUGGUGCAGCUGCAGUAAGACAAUUAGUGAUGAAAAAUACCAAGACCCUUUUCAACUAGGUAAAAAAGACUUGAAGAAUCUCUAUGAAGAUAUUAAAAAGGAAUUGCUGGUCUCUGCAGCAGAGCUUAAGGAAAUGUGUGAUUAUUACUUUGAUGGGAAGGGAAAGGCCUUUCGACCAAUGAUUGUGGUGCUAAUGGCUCGGGCUUGCAACAUUCACCAUAACAAUUCCAAGGAGGUGCAAGCAAGCCAGCGCUCUGUGGCUGUAAUUGCUGAGAUGAUCCAUACAGCCAGUCUAGUUCAUGAUGAUGUUAUUGAUGAUGCAAAUUCUCGCAGAGGAAAAAGGACACUUAAUCAAAUCUGGGGAGAGAGGAAAGCUGUUCUAGCUGGUGACUUCAUCCUCUCAGCUGCUUCUGUAGCUUUAGCACGAAUUGGAAAUACUACUAUCAUCUCUGUUCUAACUCAGGUGAUUGAAGAUCUGGUGCGUGGUGAAUUCCUCCAGCUGGGUUCCAAGGAAAACGAGAAUGAGAGAUUUGCUCACUACCUCGAGAAGACUUUUAAGAAGACAGCGAGUCUGAUAGCAAACAGUUGUAAAGCAGUAUGUUUCAAUUCUAGGGUGCCCUGAUCCCAAAGUUCAUGAGAUUGCAUACCAGUAUGGAAAAAAUGUUGGCAUAGCUUUUCAGCUGAUAGAUGAUGUGCUGGAUUUUACAUCAUGUGCUGACCAUCUGGGGAAACCAACAGCAGCAGAUCUCAAGCUUGGAUUAGCUACAGGUCCCGUCUUAUUUGCUUGUCGACAGUUUCCAGAAAUGAAUGCUAUGAUAAUGAGGAGAUUCAGUAAGCCAGGAGAUGUUGAACGUGCACGGAAAUACGUGUUGCAGAGUGAUGGUGUGCAGCAAACGACCUACCUCGCCCAGCGCUACUGCCAUGCCGCCACGCGCGAGAUCCGCAAGCUGCGGCCGUCCCCCGAGAGAGAGGCCCUCGUCCACCUGACAGAAAUGGUUCUCAUGCGAGACAAGUGAGAGAGCUCCUUCCACUCAUUCUGGCAGCUACUUACCAGACUGUGCCUAAAUUUAUUUCAAAAGUUAUUUGCUUCCAACACAAGCUACCAAAAAUUAUUUUUUUAAAAAAAAAAUCUUUUUUUUUUUAAGUUCUUUUUUUUUUAAAAACAAAAGUUUGAAGUCUUUUACUGCAGGAAGCCAUGCAAUUCAGAGCAAAUCAAACUGUGCUGUACAAUUGUUUUAGCGGGGGCUAUUGAUUGUGGGGGAUGGGGAAGAUGUUUACAUGUUGAUGCACAAAGGCCACAAUGAGAAUAAAUAUAAAUCAGUGUAUGAAAACUGAA